UACGACAUAGUGAUUAGCAGCAUGAGGUGCUGAGCACAUCGCGUGUGUGUCUGUAUGUGUGCGCUGAUAUGUGGUUCAUGAGGAACAAACUGAUUAAGCAUGCUCCAAAGCUACGAGUGACUGAACUAGGUAUCUUUUCUAUUUUCAUGGUGAAGCCUGGUUUUAACUGCUAAAGAAUAGCAGGAGAUGGAAUCAUUGAAAUAUAAUCAAUUCUUAAGUAAAUGAACUGAGACUUGAUGGUUGUGUGUUAUUGGUACAAUAUGUAUUUUGGGCCUGAAUUGUGAAGCAAAUCGAGAAUUCCUGGUUACUUAUUAUUAGUAUAGUAUACCUUUUUUGGGCCUGAAUUCUGAACCUUGCUGAUUUUUUUGGUAGUGUGUUAUCAGUGUAUAUGCAUUUUUGGCCUGAAUCCUUAACCUUAUCUAGGUAUUGAUUUUCUGCAAUCAGUGAAGCACUCAUGGUCAUGCGUAUUUGUUAGUCUACAUUACUUAUAGAUUUAGUUGUUUUGAUAUGUAUCCAUUCGUCGGUUAGUUAACUGAAAUUUGUUGGCAGUGGUUCUUUAUGUUCUUUAACUGUUAUACAGAAGCAGCGGACUGAAACAUUUAAAAACAAUCAGCUCUUUAUGAAUUAACUAAAGACUUGAUGGUUGCGUUAUUAUUAUAGUAUAUACAUUUUUGGGCU
rnacentral:lncRNA from 1 species